AUGAAAUUGAAAAUAUAUAGUUUUGCUUUUGAAACUACGAAAAUCUAAUUCAAUUUUUAACCCAAAAUUGAGUAUACAUUAACAAAAUAAACCCUGCGUUAAAUGCAUUUUGCUCAUAAAUGACAAUAUCGUUUUAUUUUCCUUACAAGCGUUCUCGUUGUAUUUAUACAUUCCGUCCAGCGCAAAUCAGUUCAGCUGCACUCGUUCGUUCGCAAACAAUUUGCCCGCAAACACUUCGUUCUCGAACAGUUCGUUCCCAAAUAGUUCACUCUCAAUCAUUUCUUUUCCAUACAGUUCACUCGCAAACAGUUCGUUCACAAACAGUUCACUCUCCAUCAGUUCACUCGCAAACCGUUCUUUCGGAAUCAGUUCGUUCACAAACCGUUCGCUCGCAAUCAGUUCGUGGGGAGAACUACCGUUCUUUGAAAAAGAACGACCGUUCGUUCACUCUUUUCGGAGAACUAGUUCGUCCGUACCGUUCGUGAACGGUUUGCCCAUCUCUAGUGCGGACGGCCCUAGAGUCUUCAGUUGUCUAAUACUUAUGACAGACAUAUUGCUGUACUUGCGUUGUACUUCGAAAAUUGUAUGUCUGUCACCAUGUACAGCGCUAGAACCAUGCAAGCAACUCGGUACAAUCGCUGUACCUGUACCGACUUAUUUUACCGCUGUACAUGGCUACAGUUGUACUGUGCGCAGCGCCAUAGACGAUUAGUGGUGGGUAGCAUGAACAAAACGAAUCAAAACAUUUGGUAUACAAUCUUUUCAUUGACUUUCUCUUGAGUUAAUAACUCAGAUUGGAAACAUAUUUGUUGUGUUCGAUAGUUUAGACGCUAAAUAAAAACCUUUUUCAUUGAAAUAUUGGUGAAAAUACAAUGCAAUAAAUUCAAACUUCUGAUUGUCAGUCUGACAUGCGGUACAAUGUACAACCAAAGUAUGUGUGUCAUGCUAUCGUGGUACCUGUACAACGCUGUACACGUACAGCGCUAGUACAGUUGUAUGUCUGUCCAUGGUAUAAGCUCUUUUUUGCACAUGCUUUGGAAAAGGAACAGUAGCAGAUGAGGAUGAUGGGGAACAUGUUACCCAAGCGGUGCCGUGCCUCGGAUAUAACAGGAGCAUAAUCUCGUUGCGAAACGCAACAUAGGUCCAACAUGCGGCCAUUCUCAUUUUCGAUGUUGUUAAUUUGCCGAAGUGUGGCUGCGCUAUACGCGUCGAGCAGACUGGAGAUGAUGGUGGGAUGUGUCGUUAGCGAGGGAUCAGGAUACAAAAAGCCAUCGCGAAGCGGACGCUAUUUCAUUCCCGGUAGAUUGAAAUCGCCGAGGAUAACGAUGUCAUCACAGAGGGAAGUGAGAAUGAUCAUCGAUCAAGGCAGUGUCUCGAAUACGGUCCGGAGACUUGUUCCACGCCAGUUCAACGGGCAUUGUCGAGCCUCAACGCCCUCCAACUUCGGCGAACUGCGAUAGCAACGUCUCCUCCUGUCGUUUUUCGGCUAUUUAAUAGACUACGGUCAGCUCAGAAGACAUAAUAGUCUGGCCCGAACAGUUGAUGCGAGUGGGUGCGAUCGUCCAACCAAGUCUCAGUGAGGACGAUGACAUCGUUUUCUUCACUCGAACACGCGAGACGGUAGUCGGCGAUGCAUGAGUUAGUGCCUCCGGCAUUCUGGUAAUAGCGUAUAGGCUAUGUUCUCACUGCAGCGGGGCGUCAACGUGGCUUGAGCGGGGCGUGUUCACUUCUCGCCACGAUAUUUUAAUUCACUCACAUUGCACCGUGCCAGUGGCGUGUUUUAUAAAAAUUGUCAAUGUGUGGUUUUGAAUGAAAGAAUAAAAUUGGUUUUUUUUAAUAUUCCAGCAUCGUUGAACGUAUCCGGGUCAAAACUCGGACGAUGGAAAACGUAAAAACUAAAAAAAAAAACGCAAAAAAACUUAAAUUAUGUCACUUUUACAAACAAACAUAUGCAAGAGAGAAGCGGAGAAGUACAAAUAUCGCCGGCAUGAAGUGUUUUCGUUUGCACGCCAGCAACACGCCCAAACCACGCUCACGACAUGUCAGCCUGGUGUGAACACAUCGGUAAGAACAUACACAAUUAUUCGUAAGCGUCACACGCCCCGUCAAAGUCAAGCUGACGUCCCGCUGCAGUGAGAACAAGGCCAUAUUCCACUAAGUUCGGAUGACAUGUAGGUGCUGGUAUAGAUCUGGAGACCGAAGAAAUAUCAGGCGUUGAAGGAUUUUAGAUAUCUUUGUACUCGCCUGAAAAAGGGAUUUGAAAGACCCCCUCUCGACUUCUGACCACAGGCUCGGGACGACUGUGCUGACUGCUGAUUGGAGUCGAUCUGGGUAGAGGCAUCCAUACUACUUUCUAAUGUACGUCGCGGUAUCCUUAGUUAAUCAUGACGGUUUCCUCUAUGUGUUGUAUCGGUGUCAGUUGAGGCUUCCAAAAAUUUGCACCCGUCCGACUGUCUUGGAAUUUAUGGUAGUAGAUGCCUUUCGGUCAGAUCGCAGAAGAGAGGGCUUUGGCUAUCACGUCUACAUUCAAUCCGAUUUUAAAGGAAAUAAACGAAAGAGUGCUCAUGUUACGUCCUUUGCCCACAGCGCUAGACUUUCCGCUAGUUAGCGCUAGACUUUCCGAAGAGUUGACGACGGCGAGUAGUAGCGAUCCCCGUAGCAAAAUACUAGGUCAUCGAGCUGGAGUUAAUUAAUGCUGAGAAUUUCGACUUGAUCUCCUUCUUCAACUCGAAAAGUAUUUCUUGUUUCAUGCUUUCAAUUAUCUCGUAUUAUCUCGAAUCCAUUUUCUCUUGACCGGACUCGUAAGCCGCACGUACUGCAAACCUCACGCGCAUAUCAUUCAUGAGAGAUGUGCACGAUUUGCACAUCCAGAAAAUCUGAGGGUUUUUCAAAACUUCGUCGAACGCGGAUGUGGCGAUACCGCAGCAGGAAGGAUGGAAUUCCGCUCUGAAAAAUCCGCGACAGAUAACAAGCAAUCCGUAAUUUCAUUCGCGCAUGAAUGGCAAGUCGAAUUCAUGACGACUAGAUGUAUUGCAAGAUUGAACUCGCCUACAGGUAUGCCACGGGAUGCACAAAGUAUUUGUUCUUUUUUUGUCCUGAAGAUUCCGCUUCAGAAGAAAAACUUGGCGUGGAGGGAAAUUAGGAAGAUGACAAAAAAACAAAACUAGCACUACACUGAUUUUCAACAGAGAAUGGAUCGCUACUGCGGGGAUCUUGGAUUACUUCUCACAUAAAAUCUAACGAUAAAGCGGACAAGCAGAGAGACAAGUCAAUUGUACUUUCUCUAGUAGGGGGUUUGAGUACUCUUGUAGGCCACACCAUGUGAAUUGAAAUUACCGAAGAUAUUUUUCUUUUGAACCCCCUCACUUCAUCAUCUUGUAAAUAUUCUAAUUUUGAAUAUUUUUUUUUAGUUUAGCUCUUGUUGUAUUUUUAAAAUCUAAAUAAACAAUAUAUGGAAUAAUG